UAUAUACAGAAAAACGCACGUACCUCUGGUUUUUAAUAUUAAAGAGAGGUUUCGUAGAUCUUUGCACAAUUGUUUCAACAUGGUCGUAUAUUGGACUUACGUUUCGAAAUACAUUAUUUAUUAGAGUUUUCUUUCAAAACUUGAUACCAACGGAGAAUUGACACCAGAGUCCAGUUCCAGGCGAUAUUCGUUUGGAAUGAAUAAAAAAGCUAUUAUCUGUAAGAUUAUAAUAAUCGUUGGUGCCUUUUCUAUCGAUAAUCCCAUCGAUGAUCUUACAAGAGCGGUGCCAUUACUACACAAUCGGUCAUUCGAUGAGUCCUAUAUGUAUUAUUUAUAUGUACCAUACGUACGUAAAUCGCGACGAAGAAAAAUUAGACGCACGGGGACUUUGCUCUUUCAGCCGAUCCAUGGGUCUUACGUGUUUCUCUCUUUGUUGUUGUAUACAACUUUGGGGGUGUUCGACAAUAACCAUUUAUAUACGUACUAGGACGCAUUAAUAACUUAAAAGGACCGUUGUAAAUAAAAGAGAAAUGCAAAUAAUGCGAGACAAAAAGAUGAUUAGUCGAUGCUAUGAUGUUGACAAUAAUUGUAAAUGUCGUUAUAUAAUAACUUCAUCGCUGUGAUUCUUAUACAGUAUUAAUGCGAUUUUCAUAUUCAAUUUGAUUGUUUGUAUUUGCGAAAAAAAAAAGAACGAAAAGAAAAAGCAACAUUGAUAUUUAGAAGAAGAAGGAAGAAAAAGAGAAUAGAACGAUCGUGGAUAAGUCUCUGUUUGAAUCGACCGUUAAAAUUGGUAAAAGGACAUAUAACGUGCUUUAUUGAUUACAAAUCAUUCUCUCGAUAUAUCAAGCAUCGACUAUUUGACAUACAAAUUAUAUUCUACAAUCACGCUUAAUCGCACAUUAAUUUAAUAUAUGGUAUGCAUGUUGUUAUAGUCCGUAUAUAUAUAUAAAAUGUGCAAACACUUAAACGCAACCUUUAAUGCCAACUUUUAAUGACUUUUUUCUCGUUUUAUAAGAGUUUAUCGAAAUUUAUUAUCAUGCGAGUAGAUUAAAUUUACUUAUGCAAAUGUCUUUUUCUUUGCCCAAAUUGUUAAUUUAUCUAUCAUUAUAAAUAUAAGCGUUAUAUUUAAUAAAUAAAUCAACUUGCAGAUACUUUUCUUUUUCAAUGCGUUACUUUUUAUAAUUCACCUAGCUGUAAAUGGCUCUUUGAGUGAUCUCAAUCGUAAUCGGUUGUUUGAUUUGUUCUGAUCGUUGGAUGCCAUCUUUUUGCGCAAUUCUCUUCUCAUUAUUUCAAACGUUAAGAACCAAAUUAAAUUAAAUUUUCUAACUCAAUCGAUGAAUAUACGAACCAUACGCCCAUUCCAUGAAUCCAAAUAAUCUCAAGAUAAGCCAAUGUGAGUGAACAAAAAUGUGCCCUUAUUAACAGAGAAGUUCUUUUCGAUUGAUACCAUGUAUCGCUACGUGACCCGUAUUAAAAUGCGUGUACGUCGGUUGGAAGAUAGAAAAUAAACUUGCACUGAUACGUAUGUAAUCGUAUAUGACAAAGUAUCAUGCUACUGCGAUUUCGUUUGUUAUUAAUCUCUACGGAGACGGGACCUUUUCAAAUUGAAGUGUUAUUUAUAAGGGCGCCGUUCGAGAGAAAAAAGAAUAAGUACUUUGAUCGCGCGUAACGAUCGGUGGCGUAAUUCGAGAAUACUCUUCGUUUUCUAUCUCUAAAGGAUAUCAUCAUUGACGACGCAUCGUUUUUACCCCUGUCUAAAUUCAAUCGAUAUUAAGUUUAUUAGUCAAACGCUUAUUCCAAUUAAUUGAUUAUUAAUAUUUCAAGAGGGAUAGAAAUUAUUUUCAAUAUUAUUAAAUACGGUCAGAUGGAUGACAACCGUGAGUAACAAGUUUUAUUUCGAUUUUAUUUCAAUAAUUAUUAAAUAUAUCUCUCGCGCUUUCUGCUUCUUGUAUGUUUCCGUUUAUUGUAUUUCUUGAGAAAUUAUAAUUAUAAUUAUAAUUAGGCGUGAUUAUAAUUAUCAAAAGUUAGAAGAUAAAGAGACAACGCGUAUGGGCGAAAGUAAGGAGAGGAAUAUACUCGACGUAUAAAUAUUGUAAUUCCGACCCUUACAUAUACUAAAUACUUUGUACUACUGCUUUUAAACGAAUAAAAAAGAAAAAAAAACAA